rnacentral:ribozyme from 14 species
UUUCACCUCUUUUCUUUUCUUUUGUUUUUUUUUCUUCCUCUUCUUUUUUCGUCUUCUUAUCGCUUUUUUUUUUUGCAGAAAAGUGCGUUGGAUAGACU